UACGGAGGGUGCAAGCGUUGUCCGGAUUUAUUGGGUUUAAAGGGUGCGUAGGCGGCCCAGUAAGUCCGCUGUAAAAGUCAAAGGCUCAACCUUUGAAUGCCGGUGGAUACUGCUGGGCUAGAGUCCGGAAGAGGCGAGUGGAAUUCCUGGUGUAGCGGUGGAAUGCGCAGAUAUCAGGAGGAACACCAAUAGCGAAGGCAGCUCGCUGGGACGGUACUGACGCUGAGGAGCGAAAGCGUGGGGAGCAAACAGG
rnacentral:rRNA from 1 species